GAUGAACGCUGGCGGCGUGCCUAAUACAUGCAAGUCGAGCGACUGGAUUAAGAGCUUGCUCUUAUGAAGUUAGCGGCGGACGGGUGAGUAACACGUGGGUAACCUGCCCAUAAGACUGGGAUAACUCCGGGAAACCGGGGCUAAUACCGGAUAACAUUUUGAACCGCAUGGUUCGAAAUUGAAAGGCGGCUUCGGCUGUCACUUAUGGAUGGACCCGCGUCGCAUUAGCUAGUUGGUGAGGUAACGGCUCACCAAGGCAACGAUGCGUAGCCGACCUGAGAGGGUGGUAGGCCACACUGGGACUGAGACACGGCCCAGACUCCUACGGGAGGCAGCAGUAGGGAAUCUUCCGCAAUGGACGAAAGUCUGACGGAGCAACGCCGCGUGAGUGAUGAAGGCUUUCGGGUCGUAAAACUCUGUUGUUAGGGAAGAACAAGUGCUAGUUGAAUAAGCUGGCACCUUGACGGUACCUAACCAGAAAGCCACGGCUAACUACGUGCCAGCCGCCGCAGUAA
rnacentral:rRNA from 1 species